GAUGAACGCUGGCGGCGUGCCUAAUACAUGCCAGUCGAGCGAACAGAUGAGGAGCUUGCUCCUCUGACGUUAGCGGCGGACGGGUGAGUAACACGUGGAUAACCUACCUAUAAGACUGGGAUAACUUCGGGAAACCGGAGCUAAUACCGGAUAAUAUAUUGAACCGCAUGGUUCAAUAGUGAAAGACGGUUUUGCUGUCACUUAUAGAUGGAUCCGCGCCGCAUUAGCUAGUUGGUAAGGUAACGGCUUACCAAGGCAACGAUGCGUAGCCGACCUGAGAGGGUGAUCGGCCACACUGGAACUGAGACACGGUCCAGACUCCUACGGGAGGCAGCAAUAGGGAAUCUUCCGCAAUGGGCGAAAGCCUGACGGAGCAACGCCGCGUGAGUGAUGAAGGUCUUCGGAUCGUAAAACUCUGUUAUUAGGGAAGAACAAAUGUGUAAGUAACUAUGCACGUCUUGACGGUACCUAAUCAGAAAGCCACGGCUAACUACGUG
rnacentral:rRNA from 1 species